UACGUAGGGUGCGAGCGUUAAUCGGAAUUACUGGGCGUAAAGCGUGCGCAGGCGGUUUUUUAAGCCAGACGUGAAAGCCCCGGGCUUAACCUGGGAAUGGCGUUUGGGACUGGAAGGCUGGAGUACGGCAGAGGGAGGUGGAAUUCCACGUGUAGCAGUGAAAUGCGUAGAGAUGUGGAGGAACACCGAUGGCGAAGGCAGCCUCCUGGGCCAGUACUGACGCUCAUGCACGAAAGCGUGGGGAGCAAACAGG
rnacentral:rRNA from 2 species